GCAUAUCAAUAAGCGGAGGAAAAGAAACCAACAGGGAUUGCCUUAGUAGCGGCGAGUGAAGCGGCAAAAGCUCAAAUUUGAAAUCUGGCUCUUUCAGAGUCCGAGUUGUAAUUUGAAGAAGGUAUCUUUGGGUCUGGCUCUUGUCUAUGUUUCUUGGAACAGAACGUCACAGAGGGUGAGAAUCCCGUGCGAUGAGAUGAUCCAGGCCUAUGUAAAGUUCCUUCGAAGAGUCGAGUUGUUUGGGAAUGCAGCUCUAAGUGGGUGGUAAAUUCCAUCUAAAGCUAAAUAUUGGCGAGAGACCGAUAGCGAACAAGUACAGUGAUGGAAAGAUGAAAAGAACUUUGAAAAGAGAGUGAAAAAGUACGUGAAAUUGUUGAAAGGGAAGGGCUUGAGAUCAGACUUGGUAUUUUGUAUGUUACUUCUUCGGGGGUGGCCUCUACAGUUUAUCGGGCCAGCAUCAGUUUGGGCGGUAGGAGAAUUGCGUUGGAAUGUGGCACGGCUUCGGUUGUGUGUUAUAGCCUUCGUCGAUACUGCCAGCCUAGACUGAGGACUGCG
rnacentral:rRNA from 1 species